CCUACGGGAGGCUGCAGUGGGGAAUUUUGCGCAAUGGGCGAAAGCCUGACGCAGCAACGCCGCGUGGGUGAUGAAGGUCUUCGGAUCGUAAAACCCUGUCGUUGGGGACGAAGGUGGGGGCGUUAAUAGCGUUUCUGCUUGACGGUACCCGGAGAGGAAGCCCCGGCUAACUCUGUGCCAGCAGCCGCGGUAAUACAGAGGGGGCAAGCGUUAUUCGAAAUUAUUGGGCGCGGAGGGUGCGUAGGCGGGUGUACUCCCCGAGCUCAACUUGGGAACUGCAUCUGAGACUGGAAGGAUAGAGUACUGGAGAGGGUGGUGGAAUUCCUCGUGUAGCGGUGAAAUGCGUAGAGAUGAGGGGGAACACCAGUGGCGAAGGCGGCCACCUGGACAGUAACUGACGCUGAGGCGCGAGAGUGUGGGUAGCAAACAGGGUUAGAUACCCUUGUAGUC
rnacentral:rRNA from 1 species